rnacentral:tRNA from 1 species
UAUUUAUUAGUUUAAUUAAAACAUUAUAUUUUCAAUAUAAAAAUAUUUUUCAAAUUUUUUAUAAAUAA